AGCCGUACUUAAGAUUGUCUUGGUCAAGAUCAUCUUAUUUGAUUCAGAUCAUCUCAAGAACAGUACAUUACAUAGUCACAAAAUAAGAUGGUCUUUGCGAAGACGUUUUCAUCGAAGUAGUUCUUAUUCGAAUUGAGAAAGUCUUCGCGAAGAUAUGCUUAAAAUCGUGCUUAUUUACGAAUCGGCUGUUUCCGUAAUAUUUCUCUUGUGUCCUCCAAUAGAAACGUUGAAUUGAAGAUACAGUUGUACUCUACCGUGUACUAUCUUGUGUAUGUUUAUGCACAUAGCAUAAUUCAUCGAAAAAUUUUGGCGUUAUAUUGUUCUUCAUCGAGAAUAAAUAUACCAGAAUGUCGUGCAAAGAGAAGCUUGUUUCAAGUAAAAACAAACAUUAUACAUUGAUAGAAAAGAAAGUAUUUUUACAAAUACUUGAAAAAUACAAAAAUAUAAUAGAACUAAAAAAAAGUGACGCUACAACUUUGAAAGACAAAGAUAUCGCAUGGAGUGAAAUAUGUCAAGAAUAUAAUCAAUCAACAUUGAUUUGUCAAGAGAGAACUGUACAACAGUAAAAAAAUUGUGGGCAAAUUUAAAGCAGUCCCAAAGAGAUGCCUUAACCAAAGAGAAACAAUCACGUUUAGCUACUGGUGGUGGACCACAGGAAGCUGAAGCAAGUGUUGAUCCUGAUAUCCUCAAUAUAGCACCACAUUUAAUGGAAAAUGCACCAGUGCUAUUUACAUCAAAUAUGACUGAAACAGAGAUUGAAGGUAUAUCUACAAUUAACUAUAUCACCUCUAAAUUUUUAACAAUAUACAU